CAGCGACGGCCCUGCGAGCGGAGGGGAAGACGCGUGUCUGCCUCUUCGCUGUGCCCACGUACCGCCCCCAUGGCAGCGAUCUACUCCGGGAUUUACCUGAAGCUGAAAAGCUCCAAGACUUCUUGGGAGGACAAACUCAAACUAGCCCGGUUCGCGUGGGUUUCUCACCAGUGCGUCCUGCCUAAUAAGGAGCAAGUUUUACUUGAUUGGGUAAGCCGUACAUUGGUUUCCAACUACAACAAGAAAUAUGAACUGGAGGAUGAAGUUGUUGAAAAACUCUGGGCAUAUCUUGACAAUGUUAUUCAUAGCAAAAAACUACAGGAUCUCUUAAAGACUGGGAGGACAGUUGGUCUCAGUUUUGCAAUUGCACAGGUCAUAAACAAAAGAUUAUCAGAGGCCUACUCUGAAAAAACACAGCAGAACAUUAGCACCUUGCUGAGCUGCUCCAGUGGCAUCCUUUCUACUCCUUCACUGUCCAUCCUUUACACAGCAAAGUGUGAGCUUUUGGUUGAUCUCCUCAGCAAGCUGUCCAAGCUGGCAUGCCGGCAGCUGGCUUCUGAUGAUGCUGUGGGCUCCCAGUUGUUCAGUGUCCUCCAGCUUGCCUUUGCUCAGUACUUACUGAUCCAGAGGCAGCAAACCAACCCAAAACUUGUACUUGAGCAAGUGACAAGUCAGUUGCUUCAGCCAUGUUUGCUCCUGAGGCACUUGCUGACUGUGAGGAGCUGGACGCAAGCGGAUGAUAACCACGUGCGUCAGCACCUGAGCAGAGAAAUACAAAGCCAAAUAGAAACUUUGCUACAGGUUGGGUUAUUUCAGCCUGAGCUUUUCUCAUCCUAUAAAGAAGAGCUGCUGCCAGAACAGGAACCCCAGGAGAAGAAGAAAGGAGGUUGGAAAACUCCUUUACUGCCAGCCAACACAGUGCAGACCAAGCUGGGCAGUGACUUGUGUGAACCUGCCCUCUGUGGAGUGGUUGUGGCCAGUUCGGUGUCCCUGCUAUAUAAGCUCUUUCUGGACUCAUACUGUAAGGCAGAAAACCACCUUGUGUGUUUCCACAUGCUCAGCAGGCUUUUUGGCUGUCUCAGGCUCUCUGACCUGCAAGAGGCAGGGAGGAGCGAUGUGCUCUCCCCUGUGGAUUGGAGCACGGAGCUGCUUGCUCUGGAACAGCUUCUGAACUUGGUGCUUAGCAAUGACAUCUAUAAUGUCGCCAGUGACCGUAUCCGGCACAAGGAGGUGCAGUUUCAGUUUUACCGGAAGCUAGCACAGAUGCUGCUGACACACUCCCAAGCUUCCAUCCCUGCUUGGUUCAGGUGUCUCAAACUCUUGAUGGCAUUAAAUCACCUUAUAGUAGAGCCAGACCUGGAUGAUUUGGUGUCGUCAGCUUGGAUUGAUGCCGAGGCCUUGGAGCCACGUACAAAGAAACCGCAGGAGACUCUCAUCAGCACCAUAUUCCAGACCUACUCCAAGCUGAGGCAGUUCCCACGGCUCUUUGAAGAAGUGCUGACAGUCAUUUGCCGACCAGCUGUUGAUGAACUGAGGCCAUCUGUCUUCUCUGCUGGCCUGACAGUAAAGCUUCGUGAGUGCCUUCUUGAACUGCCACCCAACCAGAUUCUGGACAUUCUGUGUCUCUUUGUGGAGAAAUGCCAGACCCUUAUCAUUCCAGCUGUUGAAGGGUCAAUUGACAUGGCCUUGAAGCUGAUGUCAGUAUGCUCAGUGCUGCAUGCUUUUCUGUUCAACAUGAGGAGCCUAGAUGAUGUCACUCCUGCCCCUGUGGUACUUCGCACUCAGCGUUUGAUGGCAAACAUACAGAAGGGAAUAACUCUGCCACUGAUGGAGCUGCUGCAGGCUCCUAGGAGAGAGGAAGAAAAGUCAGAGCUUUGGCUAAGAAAGGCCAGUGAUGCUACUCUCCUCCUUGUUUACACUUGGGUUGAGGUAGACACACUGUUUGGUGUUAGCUGCAGUAAAUACGUGUCUCCAACAGCUGAAAUUGCUGUUACUGAACCUGCUGCAAGGCACUGGGCCAUUUCAGCUAUUAUGCCUGGUAUGAAGGAGCAGUGUUGGAGGAGAGUUACAGAACUUGCAAGUGGUUUUGCCUCCACUAGUAAAUACUGCUUAGAACUGCUCACUCUUCAGAAAAUGAAGAUGAUGUUAAUGCAGACCGAAGCUGACCUACAGGCCUUGCAGCGUGCUGCAGCUUUCAUCUUGGAGUCUGGAAGAUCUGCCACGAGCAGAAGAGAAUCUGAGCCGUGGGAUGGAGAUAUCAGCGCGAUAACUGAACUUAGCUACCCCACAGCACACUGGCACCUUGUCAUGUCCAACCUGACCAUCCUGUUGCCCUAUAUUUCCUUAAAAGAUGUAGAGUACAUUGCAAAAGUGCUUCUAGAGACGUUGAUGUUGGCUGAAGCUCAGGAGGCUGCCACGGACCAGGAGCCUUCCAUCAGCAUUGGAAAGAUAUCCCUUGGUUUUAUCCACAGCUCUCUUCUACCAGAAAUGAAGAUCCUGCACUGUGCUUUUCUGACCCAUCUUAUUCAUCAAUUUGCUAUGGUGCUGCCCACUGCUACCAGGGAUUCAGUAGAUCUGCCACUUCAGCAGCUGUCUGUGACUAAUGUUCCUUGGCAUGAAGAAAUUCUGUCUCCUUGCAAAAUCAUUGACCCGUUGGAAGUACCAUCAGAAAAACUGCUGAAGGAUGAGCUGAGCUUGUCUUGGAGAACACUGGAGAAGGUUGCCCAAUGUGUAGUAUUGUUAGCAAAAAAUGGCUGCCCUGUCACACUGAAAGAACGUCAGCUACAAAGAUGCCUGGGUUUGCUAAAAAUUGUUUCUCUCCUGAAAUUAGACAGUUUUCUUCCCUCUGACUGUACUCGAUGUUUUCUGGUGCUGCUGUCCCUGCUAGUUAAUACCAAGGCUAGUGUCUCUUGCAGCAAGUUGUUACUGCUGGAGGUUUUAAGGACUUGCUUCCACCUCCUGAGAUGCCUGCAAGCUGGCAGGAAUGCCAACUCUGUUUUCAAGGUGUUACAUGCCAGCGAUGUUCUUGAGGCUGUCAUGACCUCCCAGCUUACAGCUAGCAAAUUCUUCACUGAUGUCUUGACUGUUCCUGUUUGGACACAAUACGUCAAGGAAGUCCAAGAGGUUUUGGAAAACUUUCUUCAGAUGAUUAUUGAAAAAAGACAAAGUGUGAAGCGCAACUUGGAAAAGUUCAUGUCUUUCCUGGUGAGCUGCAGGCCAGACACAGGUGCAGCCAAAAGCAAAGACUGGAAAAACUGGAAUCCCGCAGCUGAGCAGUUACUGCUUACAACAUUCACCACACUCUGUCGCGUUGUCACACUGCACCUCCAGCAGCUGCCAGAAAAUAAGCUGCAUACUGCAGAUGUGUUCUCUGCUGUGUUGGAACCACUAGUUUUGCAGAUGGUCAGAACUGUUGAACAUGGUCUUCAGACUAACACCCCAAACCAGCUUUUGCCUUUAGCAUUCAUACCAUCUGUCACUACUCUCCUCAAAGCAGAUCUGAGCCGUCCUGUCAGGGACUGGCAGAAAGAGCCCAGUGGGUUUUUGGAGCAGCCCCGUAUUAAACUGUACCAAGAGUUUUACUCUCAGAUACUGAAAGAGCUGCCCUGUGCAGGGAGUAAUCUGCAGUUCCUUCAGCUUGCUUUGCAGUUCCUGACCAUCUUCUGCUCCGUGCCAGAGCUGUAUCCUGGAAAAGAAACUGCAGUCAUGGUUGUUUUUGCUAUAAAAAAGCUUCUCUCUGGUCCUGCAAUUACAACCCAGGUGAUCCGAAGUAUGGAGAUGGAGCUGACAGAGGUGCUUGUCAAGGUGCUGGGAAACUGCUCUGCCGAGGAGUUUUAUGCCAUAAUGAGGCUGGUGCUGCAAGGACUGGAAGUGAAGAAUGUUUGGCAGCAGAAGGCUAAAGAAGUAUUGUCAGCUGUUAUGCUAACCAAAUUGUUGCUCAGCUGUCCAUUAAGUGGAGACAAAGAGAAAGCUUUCUGGUUUGCCAGCCCACAGAUAAUCACAGCUUUAGCUCUGCAAACCAAAGAAGCCUGUCAGGACCAGUCACUGAUUUCCAUCAUAGUUAUACCUAUUCUAGAGACUGUAGCAGCUCUUCUAAGGCAGGGAGAAGGAGUUCUUGUGAAUCCACAUCAUGUUUCAUUGGCAUUCAGCAUUCUUCUAACAGUCCCUCUGGAUCAUCUGAAGACAGAAGACUAUCAUGGUGUCUUCCUGGGGAUCCAUGAAGUGCUCUUCUCUAUUGUGCAGUGUCAUCCAAAGGUGCUGUUGAAAGCAGCACCAUCUUUUCUGUGCAGUUUCCAUCGUCUGGUUGUUUCUGUCAUGCAUGAAGGCCGUCAGAAAGGAGACAGAGGCAACAUGGAAGAGUUUGAAAUGAUACUGAAAUGUGCACACUUGGUGGAACGGAUGUAUACUCAUAUUGCUGCAGAAAUGGAGAACUUCACUGUGUUUUCUGCUUUCAUGGUGGCUCAGUAUGUGACUGAAUUGCAGAAGGUGACUCUGCACCCAGCUGUGAAGGCACAUCUCACAGAAGGAAUAUAUCACAUCUUUGACCUUUGCAUUGAACGGGACAUCAAGUUCUUAAAUGCAUCGCUCCCAGCAGGCGUGAGGGAGGUCUUUAAGGAUCUGUAUAAUGAUUACAACCACUACCACAAAGCAAAAAAGCACGGGGAGAAAAAAUACACUGCAUGAUGAAUCUUGCCUGGUGCUGCGUGAUCAGCUGUGAAUUGAUCUUGCAGUGCUCAGAAGAUGCUCACUUGCUCUUUAGUUUGGGAUGACGAGUAAGAUUGAACCUGAGGAAGAUCCUAAACAUGGAUUGCAUUUUUCCCUGUACAGCCAGCCUUCAUAAUGGGGAAAGGGGGAACUGGGAAGGGAGGAUGUGCUGUGCUGGUGGUUCUGGUCCUGUGUUGUGCCACAAAUGGCAGAAUUGCUGGGCCUCUGCUGGCCCCUGGUGAACUCUCUGGGAGCCUUGGGUCACUCACUGCAAUUUGGCAGCAGAUGUCAGGCUUCAGGCUUUGGCACAUCAUGGUACAAAGCACCCUUGUGCCGUCUGACAUCCGUUUUGGAGCCCUUCCUCCUAGGCUGGGUUAGUCUACGAGCUCUGAACAUCAGGAAGGUGAAGGGUUUGGAAGAAACACCAUCUCAGGGCUCAAUGCCAGGGAUCACGACCUUUGUUUCAAUGGGGUGUCGCUUUGUGCGAGUGAAUCUCCGGGCCUUAGAGGCGUCUGCCACAGAUAUUCUUGGCCAAAUUUCCAAUUGUUGAUGCAGCACAUCUCUUCCGAGGGCUUUCCUUGCUGCAGCAUGGACAGAAAUUCCUCCUGUAGGCAGAACUUGGAGGCUGGCAUCUCAGGUUCCUGCUGGCUGUGCCACUGGCUCAGCCUGCGACUCUGUGUGUGAUGUUUUUUACUGGUGCAUGGGCAGUGCCCGAG